GUCAAUACCUCUAAUGUGUGUGACCCCAUAGGUUCUAUUCUGUCUGAUAGUGAGAUAUAUUGUGAUCCCUAUCACAAUAUCAUUGAAACUCCUUUCAAUGAGUUGGAAUAAUUUCCACUCUUCUCAUUCGAAUUCACUGAUCAUCAAGUGAAUGCCUCUGAGUCUCACAAUCCACCAGUGACACCUAGCAGCAUGUAGUGGCAACCCAGCAGA
rnacentral:lncRNA from 1 species